GGCCACCAUAUUUCAAAAUUCAAAACCCAUUCUCCUCCCUCAUCUGAUCUCUCUCCAUCUAUCUCUCCGCCUGCCGGUACCGAAGCUGUUCGCCGUCACCGGAGCAAACACAGAAACUGCCCGCGAUGCAAAUAGAGGAACCAUCGGUAGACUUUUCCUCUGUUCGCGGAAACUGAAGCUCGAUCCCUUUGCAGCUACUCAGCAUAGAUGACUGUCGUUGGCGGUGUUGCAAUCUUGCAGAGAUAUGGCGUCGGAGCGCAUCUUGAAGGAACUCAAAGAUUUGCAUAAGGACCCUCCUACGACCGGUGAAGAAGUUCAAGAAGUUAAGAGGCACCAGCUCAUCAGCAAGAUAGUGAUGCUGGAAAGCUAAUCAAAGGAUAUUCACUGUCCGAAAAAAAAAGAGAAGAAUGGUGGUAGAGAUCUUGCCGUUAAAGGUGCUAUCGACUGUGAGGCAGAGUGACCAAAAGAGAAUCAGAAGCAAUAGAAGAAAUAGUGUUGCAACAAAGGAGAAAGAAACCGUCGGUAGAAACUUUUCAUUUGUUUGCGAAAAUUGAAACUGGAUUCGUUUGCGGUUACUCAACAUUGAUGGCUGUCAUUGGUGGUGUUGCAAAGGUAAUUUAUUUUUUAAGAGUUAGAAUAAUUAUACGAAUCCUUGUGUUUAUGUAAAAUCGUUGGCUGUUGUUGUGUUUAUACAAUCGGUUAAUGAACUGAUAAUGGAUCUCAGAUUCAGUUUCAGAGCUUGAAUAAUUCGUGCAGAAUGGGUUAGCUUCCUUAACCACAUCCAUCUUUUUUAUCCUUUGGAUUAUUUUGAAAAUUAUUAUUUAGCUUUAACACUAGAAAAAUUAAAAAAGUUUUCAUUUUUUCUAAUCUGAGAUAAGUAAUUUUUGGUGCCCCAUUCAUUGUUUCAUUGAUUCUCCGAGAAGUUGGUGCUUACUUUUUUAUUUUUACUAAUUUUAUUUUUUUAAUCACAUUAUACAUGCUUUCAAGAAGAACCAUCAGUAAAGUAGUUGGAAUUUUUAGAGUCCCCACAUGCUAUCUAUUGGAAGGCUAAGCUUGAAGACACAACCUGUUUGAUGAAAAGACAGAAAAGCUAAAGAAGAUCAAUGAGGCAACUGAAGGGAAUAAUAAGAAAGAAUAAGUUAAAAAUGAAGGUGCUGAUAAGGAGGAUGUGGAACCAGUGAAAGAGUAAGAGGGAAAAAAAACUGAAGCAGAGGAGAAAAGUGUUGGAGUGGAGAUGAAGACAGUGAUAUAGUUCUUCUCAAGUUUCUGAGGGUUAUGGAGUUCAAAGUCAGUGAUGCACUUGAGAUGCUGAAGAGCUCAAUUUUCACCCUUUUUUUUAAAUAAAUAGUAGCUCAUACAUAAUCUACUUUAAAUUAGAAGUUACUAAAAAAAUAGAAUAAAAAAAAAAUCUACUCUAAAUAUUAUAUUAUGAUAUUUGUGCUCUUUCAUACGAAUUUGUUAGAUCAUUGUAAGAUAAAUAAUAUUUGAAACUAUGGAUUUGGCAGGUAAGAGACAUGCAAAAUGAUGAGAUGUAGGAUAUAAAAUGGAUUUUCCUAGGCCAACAUGUUGUUUUCUCUUAAUAAAUUUUAAAAUAUUUA